UUUCAUGACGAUGAUGAUAUAUGUGAUCCCAGCUCUAUGAGACCUUCACCAUUUGAAAGGUCUGGGAAUUGAAUUUGUUCCACAUUUGUCUGAGCCUUAGA